CUUCCCAGUUCCGCAUCCCGCAGCCUCUUCCACACUUCACUUCACCACGGCCACCCGCUCCCCUCCCGACUCCGACGCGGCGACACCAUCGCGCUAGGGUUAGCGCCGGCGACGGCCACCGCCACUCCGCCGCCCGCCCCUAUCCCGGCCGUCUGCUCCUCCCCCGGACGCCCCUCCCCCUUUCACGCGCGCAUCUAGGGUGGAGGGCGAGAUGACCAGCCGCAGCUGCCACCUCUCGCCGCCAGCGGGUCCGCCGGAGGACGACAACCUGCUCUGCGAGAUCCUCCUCCGCCUCCCCCCGGAGCCGUCCUCCCUCCCGCGCGCCUCCGUCGUCUGCAAGCGCUGGCGCUGCCUCGUCUCCGACCCCCGCUUCUGCCGCCGCUUCCGCCGCCACCACCGCCGAAACCCUCCCCUCCUUGGCUUCUUCAACAGAGACAGCGACCUCUUCCCCUUCGUACCUACUCUUGAGCCCCCAAAUCGUGUCUCGCCUGGCCGCUUCUCCUUGCAGCGCCGCGAAGGCGACCGCUUCAUCUCCCUUGGAUGCCGCCAUGGCCUCGUGCUCAUCCACAACGUACGGCCGAACAAGGUCCUGGUGUGGGACCCCGUCACCGGCAAACAGCACCACCUUGCCAUCCCCCCUGAGCUUGUGAUACAUGCGGAGAACACAGCCAUCAAUGGGGCAGUGCUUCGUGCUGCCGGAGACAUCCAACAGUUUCAUGUGGUCUUGACAGUGGUGGACAACGUCGACAAGCAACACAAACGAGCGCUUGCCUGGCUUUACUCUUCCGAGACCAACUUAUGGGGUGAUCUCGUCUCAACACCGGUUCCAUUCAAGGUUUCCACCUCGGAUAUUUUGGGUGAUGAAGAUGAUGUCACCUUGGUGUUUACGGGAAAGCCCGCUGUGAUGGUUAGGGAUUCUAUUUACUGGAUUCUUGCUGGGAAUUUUGUUGGAAUUCUUGAGUUUGAUUUGGAGAAGCAAAGCCUAGCUGUGAUACGGGUGCCAGCGCAUAUGCUUGAAAAUGGGUUUUACCAGUUCUGGAUUAUGCGGGCAGAGGGUGGUGGUCUUGGUUUACUGUUGCAGAAAGAUCAGAGCUUCCAGUUAUGGAAGAGGAACACUGAUCGUGAUGGUGUUGCUUCAUGGGUUCUUGGAAGAACUAUUGAACUGGACAAGCUACUUUCCCUGAAUGGAAAUGGCAGCCAAGUCAUACUAGGGUUUGCUGAGGAGAAUAAUGUGGUGUUUGUGUGGACACACGGUGUCCUCUUUAUGGUCAAUCUUGAGUCUUUGCAGUUCAAGAAACUUGGUGAGACCAGAACCCUUUCUCACUAUCAUCCAUUCGAAAGUGUCUACACUGCAGAAACCGACAUUGGUCGUGGACAUGAUGGAGUUGAUCUUUCACAGCACAUAAGAUGAUUAUCUAGUUAGGUAUGCUACUGUGAUGUACUUGUUGAGCAGGCUGCAUCUUGGAUCUUUUCUCCAGGCCCUGCUCCUCACCCUCUUCAUGCCUUCAUCAGCUGCUCUCCAUUUGCUUCCUCAUGCCAUUGCCCACCUACCUUCUCUAUUAUUUGUUGCUACCACCUCACUAUUGGAUGAGGAACCUUUCCUGUCCAUCCAGCUGCCUUGCUUUCAUUUACCUCCUCUUUGGUACUCCCCUGGUUCCUACUGUUAGUGCAAUUUCUUCUCCUCUAGCUCCUUAGAUGUUCUGAUGACUGAGGACCAUUCUCCUUUUUGUGCAUAUUUUAAGUGGCAACAUAAUGAAAUGCAUCCUCUUUUGUGUCCGUCAUUCAUUUUUUUACCCGCCUUUGAUUAGUUCUUCAUGGCUAUAGAUCUAUCAAGUCCUAGUGUGAUUAUAUGGAGUAGUUGGUAACUGACAAUACCUGAACACUUGCUUCAUGCUUUCUUUGUUACACAGGGUUAUAACUAUGCCAUUUGACAUUUCACAUCGCUGUUUAUUUUGGAUCAUUAUGCUACCUAGUGAACUAUUUAUUGUCAGGAGACUCGAAGAGCAUGCUUUCAUUAAUUUUUAAAGUACCUAGGAUUACGUUCCGGUGGCUGUGAUGCAGAAAUGGGUUGUGCCCUGUGUAAUGGUCAACUUUGUAAUGAAUUCUUCCAUUUUGUGCGCCGUGCUCAACCCUGAAAUUGGCCCUCUGAUGGUCAACCGUGAAGUCUGACUCGUAGGACUUCAUCGAUUAAUUUGUUGUGAAUUUACUGUUUCCUAUCCAGUUCAUGAAGACACGGUGACUUGCUCGGAUUAAUGAUUAGUGUCGGACACUGUCAGUUAAUCUUUGACUCAUUUGCUCCUUCCAAGCAAGGCAAGCACCUGACAGCUGUCUAGUAGCACUUGUGUGCGCGCGCGGCCUGCGGCAUUUGCUUUGAA